rnacentral:rRNA from 1 species
UACGUAGGGGCAAGCGUUGUCCGGAAUCAUUGGGCGUAAAGAGCGUGUAGGCGGUCCGGUCAGUCGGUUGUGAAAGUCAAGGGCUCAACCCUUGAAUGCCGGCCGAUACUGCCGGGCUAGAGUCCGGAAGAGGUGAGUGGAAUUCCUGGUGUAGCGGUGAAAUGCGCAGAUAUCAGGAGGAACACCGAUGGCGAAGGCAGCUCACUGGGACGGUACUGACGCUGGAGACGCGAAAGCGUGGGGAGCGAACAGG